GACGAACCGUGCGAACGUUAUUCGGAAUCACUGGGCUUAAAGCGCGUGUAGGCGGGCGGGUACGUCGGCCACUGAAAGCCCCCGGCUCAACCGGGGAAGGGGUGCCGAAACGGCCGGCCUGGAGGGGCGUAGGGGGACCUGGAACUUCCGGUGGAGCGGUGAAAUGCGUUGAGAUCGGAAGGAACGCCCGUGGCGAGAGCGAGGUCCUGGACGCCAACUGACGCUGAGACGCGAAAGCCAGGGACGAGCGAACGGG
rnacentral:rRNA from 1 species